AUUGAACGCUGGCGGCAUGCUUUACACAUGCAAGUCGAACGGCAGCGCGGGCUUCGGCCUGGCGGCGAGUGGCGAACGGGUGAGUAAUAUACCGGAACGUACCCAGGAGUGGGGGAUAACGUAGCGAAAGUUACGCUAAUACCGCAUACGUCCUAAGGGAGAAAGCGGGGGAUCGCAAGACCUCGCGCUCAUGGAGCGGCCGAUAUCUGAUUAGCUAGUUGGUGGGGUAAAGGCUCGCCAAGGCAACGAUCAGUAGCUGGUCUGAGAGGACGACCAGCCACACUGGAACUGAGACACGGUCCAGACUCCUACGGGAGGCAGCAGUGGGGAAUUUUGGACAAUGGGGGCAACCCUGAUCCAGCAAUGCCGCGUGAGUGAAGAGGGCCUUCGGGUUGUAAAGCUCUUUUGUCAGGGAAGAAACGACUCCUUCUAAUACAGGGGGUUAAUGACGGUACCUGAAGAAUAAGCACCGGCUAACUACGUGCCAGCCGCCGCCGUAAUAC
rnacentral:rRNA from 1 species